ACGUCUCCUUCUUCUGAGCUCUCUCAUCUUUCCGUUGCCGUUGCAGCGUUGCCUUGGACACGCUCGCGUCUGAGCUCCCCCGACCCCUUUCUCUCCCUCUAGCACCUCCAAGAGCACCCGAGACCCUCCGUGGACUCGUCCCUCUCGUUCCUCCAUCCUCCUGGUGGCCAGAGUGCCCCAACCGCGGCCGACCCCUACAGCCUCUGACAUAGCCGUGGCCCCCUUCUCCGGCGCUUCCCCGGUGGAGUUAGCAUCCCAUACGAGUGCAGCCCUUCGCCCCACGGCCGUCGGCGGCCGGGCGGUCGCUAGAAGUGGCGAGAGCCCCGGAGGCAGGCGCCGGCCGCACUGGAUCGAAUUCCCCUGCAUCUCCCCUAUGCUGGCAGGAGGUAGGGGGUGAACCUGACGGGUGGGGCCCUCCUGGAAGCCCCCCCAUCGGUCGGGCCCGCCGUGUUAAGUGGAGACGGCUUCUGCAGGGUACGCCUCCCCGCACAUGAAGCGUACUCAGGAGAGUACGCCUUCGGCAUGGCCAACCUCCUGCGCGCCAGGCCGAGCCGCUGGGCCGACCCAGUUCCUCCCCAAUGCCCUGGGCGCGUUAUAACCAAUAUGAUAUAACCCCCUUUUCUCCUUCUAAUUUGUUCAGAGACUAUAAAUUUUAUAAACAAUUCAUUUGAUCCCCAAAUAUAAUGAUUCAAAUUUCCGGUGACUCCUAAAAUCCUUGCCUAUCCAAAUAUGUGCUUUUCAAUUUUUCAAAAAAUAUUUUUGUAGAGAUUUAAUGCAAGUUUGAAUCUGAGUUAUUCAAACCCCACCUUGCAAAAUUUCUGCACAACUCAAAUCAACUCCAAAUGGAGUGAUUCCAAUUUCUAGAUUCUUAUAAAAUCUUGAUCUAAUUUUAUAGCCUUAGUCAGCAUUUUUAUUUGCUAUAUUUAUGUUGCAUCAAAUAAAUAGCCCCUUUUUUUCUAUUUGUUCCAUGUUAGAAAAUCCAUAGGAAAUUCAUACCAACUCCAAAUCCAGUGAAACCACUUAUUUUUAGCAGAAUAUUUUCUAUAGACUUCUUAUAGGAUCACCUAUUCCUCGUUUCGUCCAUUCAAAAAUCUUAGAUGAUCCAAAUCUCCUAGAAUAAGCUUCGGGUAUUUUUCUUAUGAUCACAAAGGUCCAAGGAAAAUAAAAAUUCCUACUUUUAGAGCACUUUUGUUUCUGCUUGUUUUGUGGCUUACUCUGGUUGUUUCCGACGAUGGUUGACAGAAUAGACGGAGUACUCAGAGUUGGACCGGAAGACCUCGAAGACCCUCGGAGACCUAUUAUAGCAAGGCAAGCAGCGCUUUGACCACGUCUGAGAAAAUGUUUUAUGCAUGACAUGUUGAUUACUUUAUUCCGAUGCAUAUGGUCAUGAUUAAUCAGUACACCCAAGUAUGGUGUUAUCGAUGGCUACUUCGAAGCACAUGCACUGAGCAUGACCUUACCAUUUGUGAAGGUCACGCUGAUAAAAGUUGAGAAGUAGAUAGUAGUGCUACGCAUAUGAUGAGGAUAUGCAUGGUGAUGGUAACACAAAUGUGAUUACAAAGGUUUUAUGAAUACCCCGUCGGGUGCUACUAAUGCCCGAGGGUGAUGGUGUUGAGCUGGAUGGCCACGUGAGGAACCAGUGGUGUACCGGAAAGGUUCAUGUGAGUGGUUUUGAAAUUGGGAUUAGAGUUAAGAUUUGCUGACCAUCCCAACCUUACAUGUGCGAUGACGAUACCCCUUUAUAGGACGGGGCUUUGUUGAUUACUCUCGUCGUGCUAGCAAGGAGCCCGCAUUGCCAGUGGAGGGAGUGAUAUGGUCACUCUCGUGACGGGGUCAUGCCAGGUAGGGAAACUAUGCCGUUUUUACAUGUUCGGGGCACACCGUUGGUCCCUACAUGGGUGAUAUGGUCUAGAGUCGGUGCUCGUAAGACGUACAUCAUGUGGGAUGGUUACCUAUCGAGUGGACUGUUUGUCUAGUGUCAUCACGGAAAAGGCAUUGAUCGGGUACUUACCUCGGUUAUGUUAUAUACCGUGAGUCGUGGAUGACGCGGAAGUUUCCUGGAUCUUGUGGAUACAGCGUGCAACCUGUGUAGAGUGUAAAGCUAUUCGAAUAGUCGUGUCCACUCUCAAGGAUAGUUGGGUAAUCCUGCUUAGACUAUGGCCAGUCAUUUCCGCAUAAACCAAGUGUGCGUGUGUAUAAAUGUGUUACACGAGAAAGUGAUUACUUGGUCAAGUUUGGUGACUUGGCAUGGAGGGUGAACAUGAGGUGUUCAUCCCUCAGAAUAUUUAUGUUGAUAUAUGUAACCUGUUCUUAUGGUUACUAUUUACCUAGUGAUACAUGAUCAUCUAAAUACUUGACCAUGUUUAUGCAUUAAUAAAAGUUGCUUUCUACAAAUGUUGCAUUAUACUACAUAUUGCACUCAAAUACAUAAUCCGCAUCAUGGGCUCUUUGCGAGUACAUUCAAAGUACUCAUUGGCUUGACACUGGUUAUUUCAUUGACUAGGUAAGAGAGAACAGGAGAUGGUGAAGAGUACCUUGGUGACGUUCCUGUGAGCUAGGACGCUUCCCAGUGAGAAUGCCUAUAGGUUAAGGCUGGUGGCAUCGGUUCAUGCUUUCGACCCAUAUUUCCACUAUUGGUCAAGUUUGUUGUAUUGGCCUCCAAGGCCCUAUCUACGUAAGACUUGACCGCAAGGUCAGUCUUUGUAUCAGACAGUAUGUAUGGAUGUAAGACUCUUGUUAUUCAGUUUAUGUGUGUUCCCUGAGCAUUGAUCUCUGGGAUCACUGAGCACAUUCAUUCGGCGAUCUCGACUCGUAAGUCGGUGUCCCCAUAGAGCUGGUAUCAAAGCCAUCCUGACUGUAGGAAUCCCUUAGUUAGCAUAGACGUUAG
rnacentral:lncRNA from 1 species